CGCGACCCCAGGUCAGGCGGGGCUACCCGCUGAGUUUAAGCAUAUCAAUAAGCGGAGGAAAAGAAAC
rnacentral:rRNA from 2 species